rnacentral:lncRNA from 10 species
UAGGUGGUUGGAACCUUCAUCCCCAUUCCACACUCACCUCAGGGAGAGAAGAAUGGCUAGAGAUUGAUUGAACCACCAAUGGCCAAUGGUGUAAUUGAUCAUGCCUACUUAAUGAAGCCUCCAUAUAAACCCCAAAGGAUGAGCUUUAAGAGUUUCCAGGUUGGUGAAAACAUGGAGGUCAUGAAAGGAUGGUGCACCUGAGAAAGCAUGAAAGUUCUCUUCAAGAUACCUAUGCAUCUCUCCUGGCUGGCUGUUCCUCAGUUGUACCCUUUUAUAGUAAACUGGUAAUCUAGUGAAUAAAUUGUUUUCCAGACCUCUGGGAGCCAUACUUGCAAAUUAUUGUGCCUGGGGAGGGGUUUAUGAGAACCUCCAAUUUAUAGGGGCCCCAGUCAAUCAGAAGCACAGGUGACAACUUAGACUUGUGACUGACAUUGGAAAUAGAAGCCAGUCUUCUAAGACUGAGUUCUUAACCUGCCUGUGGGGUCUGUGCUAACUCUGGUUAGUUUUAGAAUUUAAUUAAACCAUAGGACACCCAGUUGGUGUUUGCCAGAGGAUUAAGUUGAAUUUUUUAGAAAAAGCUCACACAUUUGGUAUCAGAAGUGAAGUAGUGAGAGUAAUAGUUGAUCAGAGAAGAAAUAAGAAAUUUUCCUUUCAGAUACCAAAGCAAACAAGAAGGCCAGGAUAAUGUGCUGAAAUGCUGAUUUGUAUUCUGUUUUCCAUGUAUUUUUUCCUUUCCUUUUUCACAUUAAUUUGUUUACCUUUGCCUCAGGCUGGUCUGUGUAGUGAGGCCUGAAGCAGAAAUUAUCUGGGAAAACCAAAACAAAAUAAGCAAAGUAUAUCAAACAAAUGAAAAUGUAUCUUGUUAGUUUGUUAAGAACAUGCUUGAUUGAGAAAAUUAUGUUCAAGGACCCCAUAGAAGAAGGGAAGACAGGCAAGUGCUUAUGAAGGGUGCAUUGGGAAGUGAAAUAAAUAAAGAGGUAGUGGGAACUGUGUCAUGAUAUAUGUAGCUACUAAAAUUAAUGGAAGUGGAAAAUUAGGAAUCCGCAUUAACAUGAGCCAGAGGGGUAAAGUUAAAGCGAGAAGCCCAUGCAUUAAGAAUGUAAUUUAUGAACAAAGAAAAAGUAUUGGCAUGCACAUAAUUUGACACACAAUUGAAAUUUUAAAACCCAAACCAAACGAACCUCACUUCUUUUAAGCCAAAAGCAUACCAUAAAUUAUUAUAAAUUGUAAAUUUACUUAAGCAAAUUCAAUGCCUUUUUUUUUUGAGACGGAGUCUCACUCUGUCACCCAGGCUGGAGUGCACUGGCGUGAUCUCGGCUCACGGCAACCCCUAUCUCCUGCGUUCAAGCGAUUCUCCUGCCUCAGCCCCCUGAGUAGCUCCUCAGUACAGGCGGGUGCCUCCAUGCCCGGCUAAUUUGUUGUAUUUUUAGUAGAGACAGGGUUUUGCCAUGUUGGCAAGGCUGGUCUUAAACUCCUGACCUUAGGUGAUCCACCCACCUCGGCCUCCCAAAGUGCUGGAAUUACAGGCGUGAGCCACUGCACCUGGCCUCAAUGUCGUCGUCUUCUCCUUUUCCUUCUCCUUCUUCUUCAUUUUUUCUUUUUUUUUUUCUUUUUUCUAGAUACAGAGUCUCGCUCGAUCACCCAGGCUGGAGUGGAGUGGCGCCAUCUUGGCUCACUGCAAGCUCCGCCUCCCGCGUUCUCGCCAUUUUCCUGCCUCAGUCUCCGGAGUAGCUGGGACUACAGGCGCCCGCCACCACGCCUGGCUAAUUUUUUUGUUUUUUUAGUAGAAACGGGGUUUCACCGUGUUAGCCAGAAUGGUCUCGAUCUCCUGACCUCGUGAUCCACCUCAGCUUCCCAAAGUGCUGGGAUUACAGGCAUGAGCCACCGAAACCGGAUGAUGCCUCCUUCUUAAUUUCCAGUCUUGUUGGCUAAUAUCAGAUUUGCUGUCUGGAGAGAUAUAUGAAAUUUAAAGAUGGCAAUCCAUUCCCUUCCCAUCAUGCUUCUUUUUCUACAGACCCGGAGUUUCUGUCCAUGUCCAAUGCAUUCAAGAUUCUUCUGCAAAUCUGAACAGUCUUGGCUGCUGUUAAUUCCUGAAAUUCAGCUCUGUUCUGUCUCUUCUGGGAAACCACCCCUACCAUCUGCCUGCUGCCUGGGUAGAAAACCUGGCCUGUGUAUUCUCAUAGCAUAUCACUCUUACUCUAUUUGAAGCACUCCUUUCAGUCUAUAGAUAUUCUUUACUUCCAGGUAAAAAUCUGGCUAAUGGAAGUAUCAUUCUAUAUUUCAUAAGCUUAUUUUUAAAGAUUAAACAUGUUAAUAUGUGUAAAAUAUACAUAUAUUAAUUUUAAUAUGUAUAUUUAAGAUAUAAUUAUGACCUUCGAAUACAUUAAGACUAAAACUGCUGCUUUUUAGCAAAAUAUUUAAAUGUGGCCAUAUAUUUAUUCAGAUCGAAUCCAAGAUCAAUUAUCAAAGUAAAAAUUGUAAAAUCUAAUUAUCUUGAAAGGACAUAAUAACUAAAAAAUAAUAAAAAUCAUAAAUCACCAAAUAAAUAUUAUAUAUAUCAUUUAAGACACAUCAAUCAGUACAUACAAAAAGUAACAGCAGGCCGGGCGCGGUGGCUCACGCCUGUAAUCCCAGCACUUUGGGAGGCCGAGGCGGGUGGAUCAUGA